rnacentral:lncRNA from 1 species
GGAAUAUACCUGCUACUUUCUUGUUAUGCUUUAUUUCUGUUAAAUUAUAAUUAAGAUUGAGAUAUAGCUGAUUGCCUCAACCUAUCCAUUGAUAAUGCGUAUCUUGUUGAAAAUCCAGGUAUACUGCCAACAUAUCAAUAGAGAAAUUGAUCGUUAAAAAAGAACAAUUUUGACUCAAGGAUAUGUCGCUGAGACAUUUGGAACUCAUUUUCAACUUCCUCCUCUGGAACCAAUAGGUGCUUUAAAAAAUGCAAAACUACUUGCUAUUUAUACGGCUGAUAAUUUUAGAAGCAACUGAGCUCAUUCUCUGAAAAGAUUUACGCAUUGAUUCAAAUGCUUGAUUCUGUCUUCACUAAAUUUCCUUUGCACUGAUGUUUGUUUCUCCUAAUAGUUCUCCUGAAGAUCAUUGUCAGCCAUCAUCUGCCCCUCAUCUGAUCCGACUGUCAUACAUAUUUGCGCCACAGAUGCUCGUGUUGGGCCCGGGCAACGCCCGGCCUGCCUUUACUAGUAUUAUAUAUGUGUUAAAUCAAAAUAAAGUUUGAAUUGACAGGUGCUACUUUAUGUUAUUUUAUAUUAUUAAAGGGUCCACUAUUUUGAUUGCAAACAUCUAAAGCUUGCAUUGAGAAAAAUGAUUAUUU